rnacentral:rRNA from 2 species
GAGCGGCGAACGGGUGAGUAACACGUGAGUAACCUGCCCCUGACUUUGGGAUAAGCCCGGGAAACUGGGUCUAAUACCGGAUACGACCAGCCUUGGCAUCGGGUGCUGGUGGAAAGUUUUUUCGGUUGGGGAUGGACUCGCGGCCUAUCAGCUUGUUGGUGGGGUAGUGGCCUACCAAGGCGACGACGGGUAGCCGGCCUGAGAGGGCGACCGGCCACACUGGGACUGAGACACGGCCCAGACUCCUACGGGAGGCAGCAGUGGGGAAUAUUGCGCAAUGGGCGAAAGCCUGACGCAGCGACGCCGCGUGGGGGAUGACGGCCUUCGGGUUGUAAACCUCUUUCAGCAGGGACGAAGUUGACGUGUACCUGCAGAAGAAGCGCCGGCUAACUACGUGCCAGCAGCCGCGGUAAUACGUAGGGCGCAAGCGUUGUCCGGAAUUAUUGGGCGUAAAGAGCUCGUAGGUGGCUUGUCGCGUCUGCCGUGAAAGCCCAUGGCUUAACUGUGGGUCUGCGGUGGAUACGGGCUGGCUAGAGGUAGGUAGGGNCAAGCGGAAUUCCU